GGGCUCGCUUCGGCAGCACAUAUACUUAAAUUGGAGCAAUACAGACAAGAUUAACAUGGCCCCUGCAUGAGGAUAACACGCAAAUUCGUGAAGCAUUCCAUAAUUUU